CAGCCGCGGUAAUACGGAGGGUGCGAGCGUUGUCCGGAAUCACUGGGCGUAAAGGGCGCGUAGGCGGUUUGCUAAGACAGGUGUGAAAUCCCCGGGCUUAACCUGGGAACUGCGCUUGUGACUGGCAGGCUAGAGUACGGCAGAGGGGGGUGGAAUUCCUGGUGUAGCAGUGAAAUGCGUAGAUAUCAGGAGGAACACCGAUGGCGAAGGCAGCCCCCUGGGCCUGUACUGACGCUCAUGCACGAAAGCGUGGGGAGCAAAC
rnacentral:rRNA from 1 species